rnacentral:rRNA from 1 species
GACGAACGCUGGCGGCGUGCUUAACACAUGCAAGUCGAACGGAAAGGCCCUGCUUUUGUGGGGUGCUCGAGUGGCGAACGGGUGAGUAACACGUGAGUAACCUGCCCUUGACUUUGGGAUAACUUCAGGAAACUGGGGCUAAUACCGGAUAGGAGCUCCUGCUGCAUGGUGGGGGUUGGAAAGUUUCGGCGGUUGGGGAUGGACUCGCGGCUUAUCAGCUUGUUGGUGGGGUAGUGGCUUACCAAGGCUUUGACGGGUAGCCGGCCUGAGAGGGUGACCGGCCACAUUGGGACUAAGAUACGGCCCAGACUCCUACGGGAGGCAGCAGUGGGGAAUAUUGCAAAAUGGGCGGAAGCCUGAUGCAGCAACGCCGCGUGCGGGAUAACGGCCUUCGGGUUGUAAACCGCUUUCGCCUGUGACGAAGCGUGAGUGACGGUAAUGGGUAAAGAAGCACCGGCUAACUACGUG